rnacentral:tRNA from 1 species
GACGGUGUAGCUCAGUGGUAGAGCGCAUGCUUAGCAUGCAUGAGGUCCUGGGUUCAAUCUCCAGUACCUCCA